rnacentral:rRNA from 1 species
GAUGAACGCUGGCGGCGUGCCUAAUACAUGCAAGUCGAGCGAACAGACGAGGAGCUUGCUCCUCUGACGUUAGCGGCGGACGGGUGAGUAACACGUGGAUAACCUACCUAUAAGACUGGGAUAACUUCGGGAAACCGGAGCUAAUACCGGAUAAUAUAUUGAACCGCAUGGUUCAAUAGUGAAAGACGGUUUUGCUGUCACUUAUAGAUGGAUCCGCGCCGCAUUAGCUAGUUGGUAAGGUAACGGCUUACCAAGGCAACGAUGCGUAGCCGAACUGAGAGAGUGAUCGGCCGCACUGGAACUGAGACACGCUCCAGACUCCUACGGGAGGCAGCAGUAGGGAAUCUGCCGCAAUGGGCGAAAGCCUGACGGAGCAACGCCGCGUGAGUGAUGAAGGUCUUCGGAGCGUAAUACUCUGUUAUUAGGGAAAAACAAAUGUGUAAGUAACUAUGCACGGCUUGACGGUACCUAAUCAGAAAGCCACGGCUAACUACGUG